UGCGCAGGUGGCCUGUUAAGUCAGGGGUGAAAUAUGACGGCUCAACCGUCAAACUGCCCCUGAAACUGAUAGGCUUGAGUCCGAGAGAGGUAGGUGGAAUUCCAGGUGUAGCGGUGAAAUGCGUAAAUAUCUGGAGGAACACCAGUGGCGAAGGCGGCCUACUGGCUCGGAACUGACGCUCAGGCACGAAAGCAUGGGGAGCGAACG
rnacentral:rRNA from 1 species